rnacentral:lncRNA from 1 species
AAUGUGUAUGGAAAAUGACAAAUCCCAAAAUAGUGUGGUCUGGGAAGAGGGAGUGAGAAAGAAGGCCAAACAUUGGUAACAUUGAUCCUUUCCCAAUACCUUCCUUCCCAGUGACAAAGACAGUCCCUGGGAAGGAGACAUCCAUCAAACCUAAAAUGACAGUGUCUGGGAGGAAGCCAAAGCAUUGAUCCUUCCCCAAAUAAAUCCCAGUGACAGUACAACAGGACCCCCAAGGGAAAGAGAUAAGCAUUGAAUGCUGACCUCCAGACCCUCCAUUCUUCCCCAAGCAAAAACAUUGCCCAGUAAAAACAAAUUUCAAAUUCUCACAACCUGUUUCCUGAGUACCCAAACUGAUAUGCUUUGUCAAUAAUUAAGUCACCUCUCAGUUUAGCAUAUAUAAGCACAGAUUCCUCCUUUGGCUAGUGACUCAUUUUCCAUUGGGAAAGUAUGUCCACCAGAUGCAUGACUCCACUGCUGAAUAAAAGCUUUGCUGAUCUGGGAAGUUUGCACUGGGCUUGGUUAUGAUUUUGGGUUAUGAGAAUCUUAACCUAAUCAGUGCAUUAGUCCUCUGAGAGGGUUUAACUGAAUGUGUGGCAGGCAGGGUUGGUCAUUGGGGGCAUGUAUUAAGGAUACAUAUUUGUGUCCUUGUUGAGGGGAGCUCUCUUUAUGCUUUUUGGUGCCAUGUCCCGAGCCACUUUCCUCCUUCACACCUUUUCAUCAUGAUGUUCUGCCUCAUUUUGGGCUCAAAACAAAGGAGUCAGCCAUCUAUGGACUGAGAUUUCUGAAACUGAGACCCAAUAUAAAUUUUUGCUCCUCUAAUUAUUAUUGUCAGGUCUUUAGUCAGCAAUGAAAUAACUGAUUAAAAUAUGGCCCAAUAACUGUUUCCCUUUUACUGAAGUCCUGAGAUGAUUUGACACACUCAUUGUAGGGCCAGAGAUCAAAAAAUGAUCAGUAGGUACUAACCUGAGAGAAGCAGUACGUAAAAAACAGAUAAGUAUGCAAAAAUAUGUAAGAAUGGAUUCAAGAAUAAUAAGAAUACUGUGGAAUAUUUAACUGUUAUUCAUGGUAAUGAGACUGUUGGACAUGGAAAAAUUUCAAUUCAACAUAAGAAAGUUACUGUUGAAACUAUCAAAAUCUAAACUGCUUUAGGAGAUGUGAAUUCUUUUUGAAAUGAAGACUACUGGAUAUAUUAUUGAGCACAUUGAAUGAGAUUCCUAUAUCUGGAAAUAGUUGCCUUAAGAUUACUUUCAGUUCUAAUAUUUUAUGACUUAGUGGAUCUUAUUUCUGUCCUUUACAACUCUUGACUUGUUGCUCAGACCAGUGAAGACUAAUUGGCUGAGUAUUAAUCUUCCAGUUAGGUUGAAUGUAUUUCCAGACUAAACUAUGAACAAAGAGACCCUCAGAAACCCAUUUGGAUCUCUGUAAGUCAAGAACUUACUGUUUUCUCCUAAGGCUCUAGACUUUGAGUAUCUUAUCAACACACUUAGAAUUUUGAAGUAGAGAACUUUUUAUGUGCAAACAAAGGAGGGUUUGAAUUAGGUUAUUCUUGGGCCCACAGAGCCUGAAUUUUCUUUAGAACAGAGGAUCGUGCUUAUUUACAUAACCAGUCCUGUCUUAAGAUUAAAGUGAGUUCCAGUGAUACCCCCAUUCCUUUUUUUUUUUUUCAUUCCUUAUAAGUCCUUAGAUCUUACUCUUCUCUACAUUUGAAAUUUGUGUGCUAAUAUGGAAUGAAUUGAGUAAUAGGAGAGCUCUCACUAAGGUUCUAUCAAGUUUUGGCUAGGUAGCAACUUCAUGUUUCCUAUGGCUUAACAUUCAGUGUGAUAGAGAAAGAUCUUGUGACUAAGCUAAGUGCUGAUUGGUAUCUCCACUGCUGACUAUGUCAGUUCUUCCAGGAAACUCUAUACAUAAUCCUGGGUCUAUUCCUUGGGGCCUCUUUGGUCUGGAAAAUAUUUAGGGAAGGUGACAUCAAAUCCAACAUUUCCUUGAUUCUUAGAGAAACUCUUCUUUGCCUAAUUUUAAAUGUCCAAUUACAAGGUAACAGAUAAUUUAUACAUCAUAAAAUUCUUGUGUCAUAAUUUAAAUUGUAGAGUUUUCUAUUAUAAAGGCACAAAGGUAAUGGUGCUUCUAUCUAUAGUAUCUUAGACUUAAAGAAAUACAGGAAUGGUAUUUUGUGGCAGCUGCUCUGUAUCAGGUUCCUUUCUUAUUUUUCUUUAUAUAUGAUGAUCAACUUUCCAUAACAGUUAAUAUGAAUCUACCACAUUAUCUUAAAAUGUCUGCAUAGGAUUCCAGUUAAUGGACAUCAUCAUUUGUUUUAUCAUUCUACUUGGUUGGUUAUUUGUGUUUCAAAAGUUGUGAAUUACAAAACACAGUGAACUUUUGGAAGCAUUAAUAUUAGGUAAAUGUUAUGAAAUGAACUUGUUGAUUUGGUUAAUGUGCUGAUUUGUAUUCCAUAAAAGAUGUAUCAGUUUAUAUAUCUAUCAACUAUUAUAUAAGAGUGCCUAUUCAUGAAUUGGGAUAUGAUUUUUACAUCUGUUAGGCAAUAUGAUUCUUUGUUGUUUCAAAUUCACAUUCUUUUAUUUUUGACUUUUUUUAUUAGUUGCUCAAGACAAUACAAUGAUCUUGACAUAUCAUACAUUUGAUUCAAAUGGGGUAUGAAUUCUCAUUUUUCCACGUGUACAGAUUGCAGGAUCACAUUGGUUAUACAGCCACGUUUAUAAUGAAUCACUUGUUUGGUACUUAACAAAUUUGACGUGAAGUAUAAAAAUGGGCAUCUGAGUUUGAGAAGAUUGUAUUAAAAAUGUAGGUAAUAUUUGGGAAAUGAUGUAGCACUUUGUACAUUUUGUAUAGCACAUUUGAUUGUAUUAUAAUACUUAAUUAUAUGAGUUGAACUCUUUUUUUCCAUAACUUAUUG